UACGUAGGGGGCUAGCGUUGUCCGGAUUUAUUGGGCGUAAAGAGCGUGUAGGCGGCCAUGUAGGUCCGGUGUGAAAACUCGAGGCUUAACCUCGAGAUGUCAUCGGAAACCAUUUGGCUAGAGUCCGGAAGAGGAGAGUGGAAUUCCUGGUGUAGCGGUGAAAUGCGCAGAUAUCAGGAAGAACACCUAUGGCGAAGGCAGCUCUCUGGGACGGUACUGACGCUGAGACGCGAAAGCGUGGGGAGCAAACAGG
rnacentral:rRNA from 1 species